UCCAGACUCCUACGGGAGGCAGCAGUGGGGAAUAUUGGGCAAUGGGCGCAAGCCUGACCCAGCAACGCCGCGUGAAGGAAGAAGGCUUUCGGGUUGUAAACUUCUUUUAAGAGGGAAGAGUAGAAGACGGUGCCUCUUGAAUAAGCCACGGCUAACUACGUGCCAGCAGCCGCGGUAAUACGUAGGGGGCAAGCGUUAUCCGGAUUCACUGGGUGUAAAGGGAGCGUAGACGGCGACGCAAGUCUGGAGUGAAAGCCCGGGGCCCAACCCCGGGACUGCUCUGGAAACUGCGUCGCUGGAGUGCGGGAGGGGCAGGCGGAAUUCCUGGUGUAGCGGUGAAAUGCGUAGAUAUCAGGAGGAACACCGGCGGCGAAGGCGGCCUGCUGGACCGUGACUGACGUUGAGGCUCGAGAGCGUGGGGAGCAAACAGGAUUAGAUACCCCUGUA
rnacentral:rRNA from 1 species